UUCAUCAUUUGUCAGUCAAGGGGGGUGGCAAGAAAAGAGGAAUACUAAAAGAACCACAAAAACCCCCUCAUAUGGAUUGUGUGUAUGGAAAUUUAACCACUUUACGAGAUAAUAAAUCAAAAUCAAUCUGAAAAUCUUCCAACUGUUAAGGAUGGUCCCAAGAUAGCAGAACCUGGACAAUUCCCUCAUCAUGCCGUCAUUAUUCCCGCUGAAUUCCCAGAUUUUAUGCUUUGUCAAGGAUUUGUGAUUAGUGAUAGAUUGAUAGUUACAACAGCUGAAUGCCUUGACAAUCGUACCCCAAACAAUACAGCUGUUGUUUUGGGUGUUCAUGACUGGAGAAUUGGUGGUACACGUUAUGAUCUAUCCCAUGUUUCUAGAAAUCGCUUUUGGAUUAAGGAAUAUCGUUCCCAAGAUACUGGGAUCGUUCAAACUAUCAAACCAAUCACUUUUACCAAAUUUAUCCAACCAAUAAUCUCUUCACCAAUGGCAUUUAAUCAACCCGUCGGACGUAUUGCAAGAGUCACGGGCUUUCAUUUGGAUUCACUUGCACGCUCUACUCCAACCUACUUAAAGUACAUUGAUGUACAAGUAUGGAGUCUUCGCGAAUGUCGCCAAAGAAUCGUACCUUGGCUCCUUGGAGAAUUUGUUCAUAGUGCGAAUGCCUGUGCAGCAGCUUUGACAGGACAAGGAUUAUCUAGAACUGAUAUAGGUUCAGCAAUGGUGUUUGAAAAUAAAGCCAUUGCAAUGGGUGUCUUUGCAACUUCGGCUAUUGGUGAAGGAGCUCCCGACGUCUAUGAAAGAUCUUGGCCCCGCAUAAUACGAAACUAAUAAUUGCUGUAU